rnacentral:rRNA from 1 species
GACGAACGCUGGCGGCGUGCUUAACACAUGCAAGUCGAACGGAAAGGCCCUGCUUUUGUGGGGUGCUCGAGUGGCGAACGGGUGAGUAACACGUGAGUAACCUGCCCUUGACUUUGGGAUAACUUCAGGAAACUGGGGCUAAUACCGGAUAGGAGCUCCUGCUGCAUGGUGGGGGUUGGAAAGUUUCGGCGGUUGGGGAUGGACUCGCGGCUUAUCAGCUUGUUGGUGGGGUAGUGGCUUACCAAGGCUUUGACGGGUAGCCGGCCUGAGAGGGUGACCGGCCACAUUGGGACUGAGAUACGGCCCAGACUCCUACGGGGGGCAGCAGUGGGGAAUAUUGCACAAUGGGCGGAAGCCUGAUGCAACAACGCCGCGGUCGGGAUGACGGCCUUCGGGUUGUAAACCGCUUUCGCCUGUGACGAAGCGGGAGUGACGGUAAUGGGUAAAGAAGCACCGGCUAACUUCGUG